GGGUUGUGAGGUUAAGCGACUAAGCGUACACGGUGGAUGCCCUGGCAGUCAGAGGCGAUGAAGGACGUGCUAAUCUGCGAUAAGCGUCGGUAAGGUGAUAUGAACCGUUAUAACCGGCGAUUUCCGAAUGGGGAAACCCAGUGUGUUUCGACACACUAUCAUUAACUGAAUCCAUAGGUUAAUGAGGCGAACCGGGGGAACUGAAACAUCUAAGUACCCCGAGGAAAAGAAAUCAACCGAGAUUCCCCCAGUAGCGGCGAGCGAACGGGGAGGAGCCCAGAGUCUGAAUCAGUGUGUGUGUUAGUGGAAGUGUCUGGAAAGGCGCGCGAUACAGGGUGACAGCCCCGUACACAAAAAUGCACAUGCUGUGAGCUCGAUGAGUAGGGCGGGACACGUGGUAUCCUGUCUGAAUAUGGGGGGACCAUCCUCCAAGGCUAAAUACUCCUGACUGACCGAUAGUGAACCAGUACCGUGAGGGAAAGGCGAAAAGAACCCCGGCGAGGGGAGUGAAAAAGAACCUGAAACCGUGUACGUACAAGCAGUGGGAGCCCUGAUUUAUCAGGGUGACUGCGUACCUUUUGUAUAAUGGGUCAGCGACUUAUAUUCUGUAGCAAGGUUAACCGAAUAGGGGAGCCGGAGGGAAACCGAGUCUUAACUGGGCGUUAAGUUGCAGGGUAUAGACCCGAAACCCGGUGAUCUAGCCAUGGGCAGGUUGAAGGUUGGGUAACACUAACUGGAGGACCGAACCGACUAAUGUUGAAAAAUUAGCGGAUGACUUGUGGCUGGGGGUGAAAGGCCAAUCAAACCGGGAGAUAGCUGGUUCUCCCCGAAAGCUAUUUAGGUAGCGCCUCGUGAAUUCAUCUCCGGGGGUAGAGCACUGUUUCGGCAAGGGGGUCAUCCCGACUUACCAACCCGAUGCAAACUGCGAAUACCGGAGAAUGUUAUCACGGGAGACACACGGCGGGUGCUAACGUCCGUCGUGAAGAGGGAAACAACCCAGACCGCCAGCUAAGGUCCCAAAGUCAUGGUUAAGUGGGAAACGAUGUGGGAAGGCCCAGACAGCCAGGAUGUUGGCUUAGAAGCAGCCAUCAUUUAAAGAAAGCGUAAUAGCUCACUGGUCGAGUCGGCCUGCGCGGAAGAUGUAACGGGGCUAAACCAUGCACCGAAGCUGCGGCAGCGACACUGUGUGUUGUUGGGUAGGGGAGCGUUCUGUAAGCCUGUGAAGGUGUGCUGUGAGGCAUGCUGGAGGUAUCAGAAGUGCGAAUGCUGACAUAAGUAACGAUAAAGCGGGUGAAAAGCCCGCUCGCCGGAAGACCAAGGGUUCCUGUCCAACGUUAAUCGGGGCAGGGUGAGUCGACCCCUAAGGCGAGGCCGAAAGGCGUAGUCGAUGGGAAACAGGUUAAUAUUCCUGUACUUGGUGUUACUGCGAAGGGGGGACGGAGAAGGCUAUGUUGGCCGGGCGACGGUUGUCCCGGUUUAAGCGUGUAGGCUGGUUUUCCAGGCAAAUCCGGAGAAUCAAGGCUGAGGCGUGAUGACGAGGCACUACGGUGCUGAAGCAACAAAUGCCCUGCUUCCAGGAAAAGCCUCUAAGCAUCAGGUAACAUCAAAUCGUACCCCAAACCGACACAGGUGGUCAGGUAGAGAAUACCAAGGCGCUUGAGAGAACUCGGGUGAAGGAACUAGGCAAAAUGGUGCCGUAACUUCGGGAGAAGGCACGCUGAUACGUAGGUGAAGUCCCUCGCGGAUGGAGCUGAAAUCAGUCGAAGAUACCAGCUGGCUGCAACUGUUUAUUAAAAACACAGCACUGUGCAAACACGAAAGUGGACGUAUACGGUGUGACGCCUGCCCGGUGCCGGAAGGUUAAUUGAUGGGGUCAGCGCAAGCGAAGCUCUUGAUCGAAGCCCCGGUAAACGGCGGCCGUAACUAUAACGGUCCUAAGGUAGCGAAAUUCCUUGUCGGGUAAGUUCCGACCUGCACGAAUGGCGUAAUGAUGGCCAGGCUGUCUCCACCCGAGACUCAGUGAAAUUGAACUCGCUGUGAAGAUGCAGUGUACCCGCGGCAAGACGGAAAGACCCCGUGAACCUUUACUAUAGCUUGACACUGAACACUGGUCCUUGAUGUGUAGGAUAGGUGGGAGGCUUUGAAGUGUGGACGCCAGUCUGCAUGGAGCCGUCCUUGAAAUACCACCCUUUAAUGGCUGGUGUUCUAACGUUGGCCCCUUACCGGGGUUGCGGACAGUGUCUGGUGGGUAGUUUGACUGGGGCGGUCUCCUCCUAAAGAGUAACGGAGGAGCACGAAGGUUGGCUAAUCCUGGUCGGACAUCAGGAGGUUAGUGCAAUGGCAUAAGCCAGCUUGACUGCGAGCGUGACGGCGCGAGCAGGUGCGAAAGCAGGUCAUAGUGAUCCGGUGGUUCUGAAUGGAAGGGCCAUCGCUCAACGGAUAAAAGGUACUCCGGGGAUAACAGGCUGAUACCGCCCAAGAGUUCAUAUCGACGGCGGUGUUUGGCACCUCGAUGUCGGCUCAUCACAUCCUGGGGCUGAAGUAGGUCCCAAGGGUAUGGCUGUUCGCCAUUUAAAGUGGUACGCGAGCUGGGUUUAGAACGUCGUGAGACAGUUCGGUCCCUAUCUGCCGUGGGCGCUGGAGAACUGAGGGGGGCUGCUCCUAGUACGAGAGGACCGGAGUGGACGCAUCACUGGUGUUCGGGUUGUCAUGCCAAUGGCACUGCCCGGUAGCUAAAUGCGGAAGAGAUAAGUGCUGAAAGCAUCUAAGCACGAAACUUGCCCCGAGAUGAGUUCUCCCUGAGACCUGGAGUCUCCUGAAGGAACGUUGAAGACGACGACGUUGAUAGGCCGGGUGUGUAAGCGCAGCGAUGCGUUGAGCUAACCGGUACUAAUGAACCGUGAGGCUUAACCUUACAACGCCGAAGGUGUUU
rnacentral:rRNA from 1 species